rnacentral:rRNA from 1 species
CAGUCGCCGCGGGAAUACAGAGGGUGCGAGCGUUAAUCGGAUUUACUGGGCGUAAAGCGUGCGUAGGCGGCUUUUUAAGUCGGAUGUGAAAUCCGUGAGCUUAACUUAGGAAUUGCAUUCGAUACUGGGAAGCUAGAGUAUGGGAGAGGAUGGUAGAAUUCCAGGUGUAGCGGUGAAAUGCGUAGAGAUCUGGAGGAAUACCGAUGGCGAAGGCAGCCAUCUGGCCUAAUACUGACGCUGAGGUACGAAAGCAUGGGGAGCAAACAGGAUUAGAUACCCCGGUAGUCCCUGUCUCUUAUAC